rnacentral:rRNA from 1 species
AGAGUUUGAUCAUGGCUCAGAUUGAACGCUGGCGGCAGGCCUAACACAUGCAAGUCGAACGGUAACAGGAAACAGCUUGCUGUUUCGCUGACGAGUGGCGGACGGGUGAGUAAUGUCUGGGAAACUGCCUGAUGGAGGGGGAUAACUACUGGAAACGGUAGCUAAUACCGCAUAACGUCGCAAGACCAAAGAGGGGGACCUUCGGGCCUCUUGCCAUCGGAUGUGCCCAGAUGGGAUUAGCUAGUAGGUGGGGUAACGGCUCACCUAGGCGACGAUCCCUAGCUGGUCUGAGAGGAUGACCAGCCACACUGGAACUGAGACACGGUCCAGACUCCUACGGGAGGCAGCAGUGGGGAAUAUUGCACAAUGGGCGCAAGCCUGAUGCAGCGACGCCGCGUGCGGGAUGACGGCCUUCGGGUUGUAAACCGCUUUUGAUCGGGAGCAAGCCUUCGGGUGAGUGUACCUUUCGAAUAAGCACCGGCUAACUACGUGCCAGCAGCCGCGGUAAUACGUAGGGUGCAAGCGUUAUCCGGAAUUAUUGGGCGUAAAGGGCUCGUAGGCGGUUCGUCGCGUCCGGUGUGAAAGUCCAUCGCUUAACGGUGGAUCUGCGCCGGGUACGGGCGGGCUGGAGUGCGGUAGGGGAGACUGGAAUUCCCGGUGUAACGGUGGAAUGUGUAGAUAUCGGGAAGAACACCAAUGGCGAAGGCAGGUCUCUGGGCCGUUACUGACGCUGAGGAGCGAAAGCGUGGGGAGCGAACAGGAUUAGAUACCCUGGUAGUCCACGCCGUAAACGGUGGAUGCUGGAUGUGGGGCCCGUUCCACGGGUUCCGUGUCGGAGCUAACGCGUUAAGCAUCCCGCCUGGGGAGUACGGCCGCAAGGCUAAAACUCAAAGAAAUUGACGGGGGCCCGCACAAGCGGCGGAGCAUGCGGAUUAAUUCGAUGCAACGCGAAGAACCUUACCUGGGCUUGACAUGUUCCCGACAGCCGUAGAGAUAUGGCCUCCCUUCGGGGCGGGUUCACAGGUGGUGCAUGGUCGUCGUCAGCUCGUGUCGUGAGAUGUUGGGUUAAGUCCCGCAACGAGCGCAACCCU